UACGGGGGGGAGCAAGCGUUGUUCGGAUUUACUGGGCGUAAAGGGCGCGUAGGCGGUCAGCACAAGUCAGUUGUGAAAUCUCCGGGCUUAACUCGGAAAGGUCAACUGAUACUGUGCGACUAGAGUGCGGAAGGGGCAACUGGAAUUCUCGGUGUAGCGGUGAAAUGCGUAGAUAUCGAGAGGAACACCUGCGGCGAAGGCGGGUUGCUGGGCCGACACUGACGCUGAGAAGCGAAAGCAUGGGGAGCGAACAGG
rnacentral:rRNA from 1 species